UACGGAGGGUGCGAACGUUAAUCGGAAUCGCUGGGCGUAAAGCGCGCGUAGGCGGUUCGUUAAGUGGGAUGUGAAAUCCCCGGGCUUAACCUGGGAAUUGCAUUUCAAACUGGCCGACUAGAGUACGGUAGAGGGAGGUAGAAUUUCCUGUGUAGCGGUGAAAUGCGUAGAUAUAGGAAGGAAUACCAGUGGCGAAGGCGGCUUGCUGGGCUUGGUCUGACGCUGAUGCGCGAAAGCUAGGGGAGCGAACGGG
rnacentral:rRNA from 1 species